rnacentral:rRNA from 1 species
GGGCCCGCACAAGCAGCGGAGCGUGUUGCUUAAUUCGAUGCAACGCGAAGAACCUUACCAAGGCUUGACAUAUAGAGGAAAAGUGCAGAAAUGCACUCCCCGCAAGGUCUCUAUACAGGUGGUGCAUGGUUGUCGUCAGCUCGUGUCGUGAGAUGUUGGGUUAAGUCCCGCAACGAGCGCAACCCUCGUCCUAUGUUGCCAGCACGUAAUGGUGGGAACUCAUGGGAUACUGCCGGGGUCAACUCGGAGGAAGGUGGGGAUGACGUCAAAUCAUCAUGCCCCUUAUGUCUUGGGCUUCACGCAUGCUACAAUGGCCGGUACAGAGGGCUGCAAUACCGCAAGGUGGAGCGAAUCCCAAAAAGCCGGUCUCAGUUCGGAUUGAGGUCUGCAACUCGACCUCAUG